rnacentral:rRNA from 1 species
CCUACGGGAGGCAGCAGUGGGGAAUAUUGCACAAUGGGGGGAACCCUGAUGCAGCGACGCCGCGUGGGUGAGGAAGUACUUCGGUAUGUAAAGCCCUAUCAGCAGGGAAGAAAAUGACGGUACCUGACUAAGAAUCCCCGGCUAACUACGUGCCAGCAGCCGCGGUAAUACGUAGGGGGCAAGCGUUAUCCGGAUUUACUGGGUGUAAAGGGGGCGUAGACGGCGUGCCAAGUCUGAUGUGAACGGACGGGGCUCAACCCCGGGACUGCAUUGGAAACUGGCAUGCUGGAGUGCCGGAGGGGCAAGCGGAAUUCGUGGUGUAGCGGUGAAAUGCGUAGAUAUUAGGAGGAACACCGGUGGCGAAGGCGGUUUGCUGGACGGUAACUGACGUUGAGGCUCGAAAGCGUGGGGAGCAAACAGGAUUAGAUACCCCUGUAGUC